AUAGCCCACUCUUUUUUUUAUAAAUGGGCAGUUAGUUAAGUUACUCCCUCCUCUAAUGCCUUCAUCAAGUCAGAUGUUAAUAUUAGAUCAUCGAUGUAGUGGUACAUUUUGAUGGUAGAAAGUUUGUUCCAAUUUGCUAUGUCCUGCACCACCAGAUUAUGACAAAAGGCAGGCAAAUGCGCAAUACCCUUGAGACAGAACUUGAAAAGUCCACUGUCUGCCCUUCCAUGUGAAUGCAAACUGGUCUUGGGAUUCCUUAGCAAUUAGCUUAAUUACCUGAAGUAUGUGAACAAUGCUAUAAAUUUAGAUAUGAGUUAACUUUGUUGUUGCAUAAUAUGCAGCUAUGUCUUUCUAUUAUUACUGUUUUAUUUUUCCUGUAUAAGUGUAGCUGAUUAAUCUUCAGCAAUUCUUCUUAUUAAACCUCCAAAUCCCUCAGUGCAUAUCAGAAGGAGCUUCGGCUCCAAUUGUGGUCUGAAGUUUCCACUAGAGAAAAAGCACAGAAAAUGUUAGGCAUUGCACAGCCAAAGUACCUCUGAAGAGCUUAGCUUAGUGCAGUCUCACAUCAAUAGCUCAAAAAGGCGUCUUUGUGCUGCUGUCAUGUGGAGGUCAGUGUUUCCACUCUAGUAAAUAGCUGCAAUAAAACCUGAAGUAUUACUGACUUGCUUAAAAUUCAGGCAACGUGAAACAAGUGCAACUGUCAGCAAUAGGGGGCCUUGAAUAGCUGUAAAGGUUAAAUAUCAAUUUGUUUUUUUAAAAAAGAAGUCAAACUCUUUCCUCUACCACAAACUGCAAAUCUGAUGGCUUUCAACCCAUUAGUAGUCCUUGCAGACAUUUGGAUUUAAAGUGCUUGACACCCUAAAAAAAUGAAAACACUUUGGUUAAAUAUAGAUUACUUUGUAAAGUUUUCUUUAAAUAAGUCCUUAACUGCAUACAGGGAAGCUUAGGAAACUUGUUUAGGAAACCAGACUACAUUUGAGCCCUGUUACAAAGUCAGUAAAGAUUUUCUGUUUGCUUCAGUAAGUUUUUGAUCAGCCUCUUAGAACUGUGCAAAGACAUGAAGAAAAUGGGAAACUGGAUGCAGAAAGAACUUCUUUGCUUUUCUCUUAUAGAUUUUUAUUUAGACAUUCUUUUCUUAAUGCAAUGUAUUAUCAACUUAAAAUCUAGUAUCAGAUAUUUAGGAUCCUUCCUUGAAAGAAAUAGAAAAUGUUCCUGUAGUAACAAAUAAUCUCAUUUAAUGUGACAGGCAUAUCCAAACUAUUUAAAGGAUGUUAGACUUAAUUUUACAUUUAAAAUUUGUACUUUGUUUUCAAAGAAAUAUUAAGUGAAGGAAUAAACUGAACUUCAAAAGUAGCACGAUAUUUUAAAUAUUUGUGGAACAAGAUACAGAAUAGUAGAAGAUGAAAUCUUACAGGUUAAAUUUCUGAUUCCACUAAAUUAUGAAAACUAAAUUAACAGCACUAGCAAUAAUAACAACAGCAACUACACUGAGAGUUUCUCUACUACCGCAAGACUGGAAAGUAUUGAUAUCUCAAGUUGAAGCUGAAUGAUCUCUUUGAUGAUUACUUCAAAUUUCCAAGGAAAUAUGGAACCAGUCAAAAUUAACGGAUUCUUGAAAGCAAUUGCUGCUGUUUUCAGAGGAGAAGGGACAAGAAGAAAUGAUGUUUGGUGUACAGUGCAAUUGAAUCUGAGGGUCCAGGAAAAACAAAGAUCAAAUGAGAGAAAUAAACAUGUAUAAAUCAUCCUACCUCUGUUCACCUGACUUGAAGAUGGAAAGGAAUCAUUCUUAACAGAUGUGAAGAACUGACGGAAGAUGAUGUUCAGCAAUGAGAUAUGAUAGUGAGAACUUUCAUAUGUCCAUAAAGAGCUGAGUUCCAGGCAUGAAAGGUACCAAAGAAGUGCACUGUAAUAGUAUUACACUGGUGAACGAACAGAAAUCAGGAGUUUACAAACAUAUGCAAGAUAAUCUUUCAGCGCUAAAUUAUCCUGUGUUGAAUGCAUUGUACUAAAAUGUAGAUUCCAAAAUUCUUCUGAUACUGUAACAUAUUUUUUUUAAUUAUGAUCUUUCUACAUGAUUUCUACAGAAGAAGAUACAAAACAAAUAAAUAAAC
ensembl:lncRNA